rnacentral:tRNA from 1 species
AUUUAAUUAGCUUAAUUAAAAGUUUAACAUUGAAAAUGUUAAGAUAGAUUUUUCUAUUAAAUA